GAUCCUGGCUUAGGAUGAACGCUAGCUACAGGCUUAACACAUGCAAGUCGAGGGGCAGCAUAAUCGAAGCUUGCUUGAUGAUGGCGACCGGCGCACGGGUGAGUAACGCGUAUCCAACCUUCCCCAUACUAGAGGAUAGCCCGGCGAAAGUCGGAUUAAUACUCUAUGUUGUAUUUAGAAGACAUCUGAAGAAUACCAAAGGUUUACCGGUAUGGGAUGGGGAUGCGUCUGAUUAGCUUGUUGGCGGGGUAACGGCCCACCAAGGCAACGAUCAGUAGGGGUUCUGAGAGGAAGGUCCCCCACAUUGGUACUGAGACACGGACCAAACUCCUACGGGAGGCAGCAGUGAGGAAUAUUGGUCAAUGGGCGAGAGCCUGAACCAGCCAAAGUAGCGUGCAGGAUGACGGCCCUAUGGGUUGUAAACUGCUUUUGUACGGGAAUAAAGUCAGGGACGUGUCCCUGUUUGUAUGUACCGUAAGAAUAAGGACCGGCUAAUUCCGUGCCAGCCGCGGC
rnacentral:rRNA from 1 species